AUUGAACGCUGGCGGCAGGCCUAACACACGCAAGUCGAGCGGAUGAAGGGAGCUUGCUCCUGGAUUCAGCGGCGGUCGGGUGAGUAAUGCCUAGGAAUCUGCCUGGUAGUGGGGGAUAACGUCCGGAAACGGGCGCUAAUACCGCAUACGUCCUGAGGGAGAAAGUGGGGGAUCUUCGGACCUCACGCUAUCAGAUGAGCCUAGGUCGGAUUAGCUAGUUGGUGGGGUAAAGGCCUACCAAGGCGACGAUCCGUAACUGGUCUGAGAGGAUGAUCAGUCACACUGGAACUGAGACACGGUCCAGACUCCUACGGGAGGCAGCAGUGGGGAAUAUUGGACAAUGGGCGAAAGCCUGAUCCAGCCAUGCCGCGUGUGUGAAGAAGGUCUUCGGAUUGUAAAGCACUUUAAGUUGGGAGGAAGGGCAGUAAGUUAAUACCUUGCUGUUUUGACGUUACCAACAGAAUAAGCACCGGCUAACUUCGUG
rnacentral:rRNA from 1 species